rnacentral:rRNA from 1 species
AGUUCGAUCCUGCCCAGAUUGAACGCUGGCGGGAUGCUUUUACAAUACGCAAGUCGAACGGCAGCACGGACUUCGGUCUGGUGGCGAGUGGCGAACGGGUGAGUAAUGUAUCGGAACGUGCCUAGUAGCGGGGAUAACUACGCAAAGGUAGCUAAUACCGCAUGCCCUCCGGGGAAAGCGGGGGACCUCGGGCCUCGCACUAUUAGAGCGGCCGAUAUCGGAUUAGCUAGUUGGUGGGUAACGGCUCACCACAGUGACGAUCCGUAGCUGGUUUGAGAGGACGACCAGCCACUGGGACUGAGACACGGCCCAGACUCCGGGAGGCAGCAGUGGGGAAUUUUGGACAAUGGGAACCCUGAUCCAGCCAUCCCGCGUGCGAUGAAGGCCUUCGGGUUGUAAAGCACUUUUUGGCAGGAGAAGAAACGGCAUCGGGAUAAUACCCCGUGCAACUGAUUUGGUACCUGCAGAAUAAGCACCGGCUAACUACGUGCCAGCAGCUGCGGUAAUACGUAGGGUGCAAGCGUUAAUCGGAAUUACUGGGCGUAAGCGUGGCAGGCGGUUCGGAAAGAAAGAUGUGAAAUCCCAGAGCUUAACUUUGAACUGUAUUUAACUACUGAGCUAGAGUGGUGUCAGAGGGAGGUGGACCCGCGGUGGUGAAAUGCGUAGAUAUGCGGGGAGGAACACCGAUGGCGAAGGCAGCCUCCCGGGAUAACACUGACGCUCAUGCACGAAAGCGUGGGAGCAAACAGGAUGAUACCCCUGGUAGUCCGCCCUCAAACGAUGUCAACUAGCUGUUAGCCUUCGGGCCUUGGUAGCGCAGUUAACGCGUGAAGUUGACCGCCUGGGGAGUACGGUCGUGCAAGAUUAAACUCAAAGGAAUUGACGGGACCCCGCACAAGCGGUGGAUGGAUGUGGAUUAAUUCGAUGCAACGCGAAAAACUCCACUACCCUGACAUGUCUGGAACUGAAGAGAUUUGGGAGUGCUCGCAAGAGAACCGGAACACAGGUGCUGCAUGGCUGUCGUCAGGUGUCGUGAGAUGUUGGGUUAAGUCCCGCAACGAGCGCAACCCUUGUCAGUUGCUACGAAAGGGCACUCCCACGAGACUGCCGGUGACAAAAACCGGAGGAAGGUGGGGAUGACGUCAAGUCCUCAUGGCCUUGCGGUAGGGCUUCAUAUCAGUCAUACAAUGGUCGGGACAGAGGGUCGCCAACCCGCGAGGGGGAGCCAAUCCCAGAAACCUCGGGAUCGUAGUCCGGAUCGCAGUUCGCAACCCGACUGCGUGAAGUCGGAAUCGCUAGUAAUCGCGAUCGCGGUGAAUACGUUCCCGCCUUGGUGCCACACUGCCCGUCACACCAUGGGAGUGGGUUUGCCAGAAGUAGUUAGCCUAACCGUAAGGGAGGGCGAUUACCACGGUAGGAUUCAUGACUGGGGUGAAGUCGUAACAAGGUAG